rnacentral:lncRNA from 1 species
CACAGUGUCUAGGAAGCAGAGCAAGAGUUUGCCCAGGUCCCCCCCGCUGCCAGCUUUUGCUUGAGCUACGAAAGUGUCGAGCCAUUCGCGCGGAUGCUUGUUUGCCUGGACCUGGAGCUGCAGCCACGCGAAGAAGAGCACGCGGAGUUGCUCACUCACAUCAAACAGGAGAAGGGCAUCCAGAAGAGAUGAGAAAGUACAAGGAACUCUAGACAUGAGCUCUGCCGACGAUCCUGGAAAUGACUUUGAUUGCAGCAUGGCACUCGGAGCAGACAUGUAAGUUCUUGACGAUUUGAAGCGGGGUGCAAGGAUCAGUUGUCAACAAACCAAAAGCUAAAGCAACUCUUUCGCUGUGAUAGCCGAAAUGCUCCACAUUUCUUCCAUCGUCUCGACAUCCCUCAGCACCUCGUUCAUAUCAGGUACAUAGCCAGCUUCUUGCAUUUGCCGGUCCAGCCUUUCCAACUCGGCUUUAAGUUUAUCAGUUUGUGGGUGCAGCUUGCCGGUCGUGCCAAACUCAUGCAACCUAUUCUUAAUCUCGAUAUAACUUUGUCCUGGGAGCUUCUUCCAACCUCUCUCUUGCAUCGCUCGUCAAAUUCUCCGGACGUCAUCCCACCUCCCAACUCGGCCAUAGAUACUGGAGAGGAGCACAAACGCAGCGGUAUUCGCCGGAUCCAAUUCCAGAACUCGAUCGGCAACGAGCUCGGCUCUCUCCACGCGGCCGUGCAUCUUGUAACAACCGAGUAGCGUCACCCAGAUAACACUCAUCCGCUGGAAAGGCAUCUCGUCCACCACCUCCUCGGCUUGAGUGACCCAUCCAGCCCGGCCGAGGACGUCAAUCAAGCGCACGAAGUGGUCGACCUCGUGGGAAAUGCCGUGAUCCAUCGUCAUUGACACGAAGUAACUCCUGGCCAGUUCCACAAGUCCGGUGUGGCUGCAAGCGUGCAAGAUACUGUUAAAGGUAACUCGGUUCAUUUCGCACGACUCCAUGAUCAUCUCUUGGAAUAAUUGCAGGGCGUCGUUGCUAUGCCCGUGCUGGGCAUAUCCGGUGAGCAGCGUGUUCCAGCAUACGAGAUCUUUCUUUUUGACUGUGUCGAAUGCGAUCCUGGCUUCGUGCAUUCUCCCGCAUCGUGAGUACAUGGUGACGAUCGCGGUGGCCACCACCAGGUGCUUUUCCAAUCCAAGAGUGAUGAUCCGGCUGUGGAAGGCUAUGCCCUCGGAGAGAGCUCCCAACCUCGAGCAAGCGUCCAGCACUCCAGAGUAAGCGUACAUGUUUGCUUUGGUUCCUUCCAGCUCCAUCUUUCGAAACAUUUCCAGGGUGGUCUUUCCAUCUCCGUGCUCCGAGUAGGCCGUGAUGAUAGCUCCCCAGGCAACGAUAUCUUUGCACUCCAUCACGUCGAAGGCUUUACGAGCAUCCUCAACGCUGCCACACUUCGCAUACAUGUCCAGCAAGCCAGUUGUGACGAUGCUGCUCUUGCCGAAAGAUGGUGGCUUUGCUUGUCCGCCGCUGGAAGACGCAACGAUCAAGUGCGAGUGAAUCGCCCGUCCCUCCUCGAGGGCGUCAGUUCCGAGCGCUCCACAGGCACCCAGGGCGAUGGAGAAGAUGAAGUCGUCCGGCUCCACUCCAUCUCCUGAUAGGCAUCGAGAGCGUCCCGGAAGAGCCCCGUUCUGCAAGUAGGCGAGGAUGAGGAUUGUCCAAGAGAAGACGUUCCUGGUGACUAUCCGGUCGAAGGCACUUCGCGCUUGAUCCAGCUCGCCGCAUUUACCAUACAUCUGGACGAGCAAAUUCCCGAGAAACGUAUCGCCGUCGUAGCCGCGGGACUUGAGGAGGAAGUGGAGCCUCUUGCCUUCCCAGAGGUUCUGGCUGCUCCCGCAUCUUCGCAACGCCUCGGCGUAGCAUUUGGUGGUGUCGCUGCUGCAGCGCAAACUUGGACUAGAACCCACUACUGCUACAUCGCUGGUGGGCCGCGGAGAAGAGCUGGAACUCCAGACAGCGUUCAUUCAUUCCAUCACAAAGCUCUCCGCAAGG